rnacentral:lncRNA from 1 species
UUAUACAAUCAUAAGUUUACUAUAACAUUUAACCAUUUAUUUUUAAUCUAAAAAUAUACUAUUUUAAAUAGAUUUCUUCCACUUCAUUAUCAUCUCUUCAAGUUAAUGUUUCCAACAAAUAUGAAUAUCUUCUUAUUAUUAAAAAAAACUCUUAUAGUCUUCCAUUUCAAUUCAAUUCUUUUGUUCAUCCUAAAUUAUAUUUGAGGUCUCCUUAUUAUUCUCAAAAA